rnacentral:rRNA from 1 species
UUCGGCUUAGAGUUUGAUCCUGGCUCAGAUUGAACGCUGGCGGCGUGCUUAACACAUGCAAGUCGAGCGAGAAAGCUCUCUUCGGAGAGUGAGUAGAGCGGCGCACGGGUGAGUAACGCGUGGAUAAUCUGCCCUGAAGAUCGGGAUAACAGUUGGAAACGGCUGCUAAUACCGUAUAAUCUGCAUAUUUAACUUUAUGUGGGAAAGAUGGCCUCUACUUGUAAGCUAUCACUUUUGGAUGAGUCCGCGUCUCAUUAGCUUGUUGGUGGGGUAAUGGCCUACCAAGGCAACGAUGAGUAGCUGGUCUGAGAGGAUGAUCAGCCACACUGGGACUGAAACACGGCCCAGACUCCUACGGGAGGCAGCAGUGGGGAAUAUUGCGCAAUGGGGGAAGCCCUGACGCAGCGACGCCGCGUGUAGGAAGAAGGCCUUCGGGUCGUAAACUACUGUCAAGAGGGAAGAAACCGUAGAGUAUUAAUACGACUCUGCGCUGACGGUACCUCUAGAGGAAGCACCGGCUAACUCCGGCC